CUGAAUUAGCUUCGAGUUAAGGUUAUGGGCAAAUGGAAAAGGAUGACGGUUAGGGCUGCUUCCUUGUUGCCUUUCACAGAGGUAAACUAUAUUCCUAAACACUUCAACUUUUGAUAUGUUUCAACAAGUUGAUCCAUAUACUACGACCCAAAAAACGACACUUUCCAAUUUAGACAACCUAAAGCAACGCCUUUCCAUUUAAGGUAUGUUGUAAUUACUAGCUAUAUUGAUAUCAGUUGCGACAUUGUUAAGCUACUGACUUUAUGAUCUAAAUGUGUAUCAAUAUAUGUCAGAUUCAAGAUCUUGCAAUAUAUUUGAUACAUCUGUGGAACUGAUGGAUACACCUGUUGAAGAGCAACAAAUGUUUCUAAGUGUUGCAUGAGUUGGAGACAUGAUCUAAUGUAUUAUUUUUCAUUACAUA